CGGUUGUAGAUUCCCUCCGUUCCGCAGUUAACGCGUUAAGCAUCCCGCCUGGGGAGUACGGCCGCAAGGCUGAAACUCGAACGAAUUGACGGGGGCCCGCACAAGCAGCGGAGCGUGUGGUUUAAUUCGAUGCUACACGAAGAACCUGACCUGGGCUUGACAUACAGGUAGUAGUGAAGUGAAAGCGGAUCGAUCCUUCGGGGAGCCUGUACAGGUGCUGCAUGGCUGUCGUCAGCUCGUGCCGUGAGGUGUCGGGUUAAGUCCCGUAACGAGCGCAACCCUUGCUCUUAGUUAUACGUGUCUAAGAGGACUGCCGGCGGUAAGCCGGAGGAAGGUGGGGAUGACGUCAAGUCAGCAUGGCCUUUAUGUCCAGGGCUACACACACGCUACAAUGGCCGGUACAAUGGGUAGCUAAACCGCGAGGUGGAGCCAAUCCUGUAAAGCCGGUCUCAGUUCGAAUUGCAGGCUGCAACUCGCCUGCAUGAAGUCGGAGUUGCUAGUAAUCGCAGGUCAGCAAUACUCCGGUGAAUACGUUCCCGGGCCUUGUACACACCGCCCGUCACGUCAUGGAAGCUGGCAACACCUGAAGCCGGUGAGC
rnacentral:rRNA from 1 species